rnacentral:rRNA from 1 species
GUAGGGGGCGAGCGUUGUCCGGAUUUAUUGGGCGUAAAGAGCGUGUAGGCGGUUCGGUAAGUCUGUCGUGAAAUCCUGAGGCUCAACCUCGGGCGUGCGAUGGAUACUGCCGGGCUAGAGGAUGGUAGAGGCGAGUGGAAUUCCCGGUGUAGCGGUGAAAUGCGCAGAUAUCGGGAGGAACACCAGUAGCGAAGGCGGCUCGCUGGGCCAUUCCUGACGCUGAGACGCGAAAGCUAGGGGAGCGAACAGGAUUAGAUACCCUGGUAGUCCUAGCCGUAAACGAUGGACACUAGGUGUGGGGGGAGUCGAAUCCCUCUGUGCCGCAGCCAACGCGUUAAGUGUCCCGCCUGGGGAGUACGGCCGCAAGGCUAAA